AUUCGUCCAAGUGAAGCAGAGGACAGUGGCGGACGGGUGAGUAACGCGUGAGGAACCUGCCUUUCAGUGGGGGACAACAGUUGGAAACGACUGCUAAUACCGCAUAAUGUAUUCUGACCGCAUGAUCGGAAUACCAAAGAUUUAUUGCUGAAAGAUGGCCUCGCGUCUGAUUAGAUAGUUGGCGGGGUAACGGCCCACCAAGGCGACGAUCAGUAGCCGGACUGAGAGGUUGAACGGUCACAUUGGGACUGAGAUACGGCCCAGACUCC
rnacentral:rRNA from 1 species